rfam:Schistosoma haematobium scaffold457_14, whole genome shotgun sequence.
AUCCGGCUGGUGAGUCUCAAAUAAGACGAAACGUACGUCUUGGAU